GGGGAAUAUUGGACAAUGGGCGCAAGCCUGAUCCAGCCAUGCCGCGUGAGUGAUGAAGGCCUUAGGGUUGUAAAGCUCUUUUGACGGGGACGAUAAUGACGGUACCCGUAGAAGAAGCCACGGCUAACUUCGUGCCAGCAGCCGCGGUAAUACGAAGGGGGCUAGCGUUGCUCGGAAUCACUGGGCGUAAAGGGCGCGUAGGCGGACUCUUAAGUCAGGGGUGAAAGCCUGAGGCUCAACCUCAGAACUGCCUUUGAUACUGAGAGUCUCGAGACCGGUAGAGGUAAGUGGAACUGCGAGUGUAGAGGUGAAAUUCGUAGAUAUUCGCAAGAACACCAGUGGCGAAGGCGGCUUACUGGACCGGUUCUGACGCUGAGGCGCGAAAGCGUGGGGAGCAAAC
rnacentral:rRNA from 1 species